UGGAACUAGAGCCAAAGCAUUGAAAUUAAAGGAGCAGAUACAGCUCCACGCUGGGAAAUUUUUCUAACAUUACAGUCUCAAAGUGUCAGGGACUGGCCUGCAAAGUAGGAAGCUUUCCUCAACUGCAGGCACCAAGCAGAGGCUUGAGGUCUGGAUUUGCAUGACUGGGCCGGGGGGCUUCUAAUGGCUCCGCCAACUCUGAGAUUUAAUUCAACAGCUAACACGUCCCUCCUGCAUACUUUGUCCACAGCAUCUCAUUUAUGCUUCCUAGUAGAUUAUUAGUCCAAUUUCAUGGAUGAGGAACCAGAAGCUCAGAGAGUCAAGUAAUUUUUCUAAAGUGAUCCAGCUGGGUAGUCAGUGUUAGGGCCAGGCUUCCAAGGCAGGUCCACUGGCCCCAAAUCCCAUCAUUUUUGUGAAGCCACUGCCUUUCCAGUUGGCAUUGGAAACGGACUUCAGUUCAGUAGAGUGUAGACAGCUCUGUACCCUCAUUGGCACAGGAGACCUUUAACGGUAAUGGAAAGGAGCAAUUCUUUGAUUCAGAGCUUAACUAAGUUUGGAACUUAAGUUCUUUUUAACUCUGUCUCCAUGUCUAUUGGCCUAUUAUUACCCUUCACCUUUGUUGUUAUCACUAGCAAUUCUAAUAACCAAAUGCAAUUUUCUUUGUAGGCCAUCACUUCCAUUUCCCAGAGGCCUGGAAAGGAACACAUGAGAAGGGGUUAACUCUUCCAUUUCCCUGGAACCGCCUUUAAUGAAAUGCAGGUCCCAGCUUCAGAGGGCCUGGGUUGCUGCUAAAAUAGGAUCCUGCUGUGUGACAGAUGCUGAACGGGGCAAUCCUGGGUUUCCUUUUACAAACUUGAAAGAAAGGGAGAGGGUUGGCUGAGGUAUAGAAAGAAUAUAUAAGCAAAUAUUGACCUCAUUUCCAUUUUUGCCUUUACUACGUUGUCCUGGAAGGAACCAGAGAUCUGAUUUAAACUGCAGGUGCUGGUAAUACAAUGGGAACUCCUACCAUCUAGAAGAGGUUACCUAUAACUAAAUAAACUUUCUUCCGUUUUUCUUUGCAGAAGGUGGUGAUCCUCAAGGAACUGUACGUGGUGACUUGAAG